ACUGAAGUGGGGAAGGGUUCCAUGUUAACAGCAGUUGGACAUGGGUGAGCCGAUCCUAAGAGAUAGGGUAGUUCCGUAUGAAAGUGCGCGAUUCUUCGCGCCGCCUAUCGAAAGGGAAGCCGGUUAAAAUUCCGGCGCCAGGAUGUGGAUGAUAGACGGCAACGUAAACGAACCAGGAGACGUCGGCGAGGGCCCUGGAAAGAGUUAUCUUUUCUUUCUUACAGUCUGUCACCCUGAAAUCGAUUUGUUCGGAGAUAGGGUUCCAUGGCUGGUAGAGCUCGGCACUUCUGCCGAGUCCGGUGCGUCCUCGACGGCCCUUGAAAAUCCUGGGGAGCAAACAUUUCACGCCUGGUCGUACUGAUAACCGCAGCAGGUCUCCUAGGUGAACAGCCUCUAGUUGAUAGAACAAUGCAGAUAAGGGAAGUCGGCA
rnacentral:rRNA from 1 species